rnacentral:rRNA from 1 species
UACGUAGGGGGCAAGCGUUGUCCGGAAUCAUUGGGCGUAAAGAGCGUGUAGGCGGCUCGGUAAGUCCGCUGUGAAAGUCCAGGGCUCAACCCUGGAAUGCCGGUGGAAACUGUCGAGCUAGAGUCCGGAAGAGGCGAGUGGAAUUCCUGGUGUAGCGGUGAAAAUGCGCAGAUAUCAGGAGGAACACCAAUGGCGAAGGCAGCUCGCUGGGACGGUACUGACGCUGAGACGCGAAAGCGUGGGGGAGCAAACAGG